AACGAACGCUGGCGGCAUGCCUAACACAUGCAAGUCGAACGAGACCUUCGGGUCUAGUGGCGCACGGGUGCGUAACGCGUGGGAACCUGCCCUUAGGUUCGGAAUAACUCCCCGAAAGGGGUGCUAAUACCGGAUAAUGUCUUCGGACCAAAGAUUUAUCGCCUUUGGAUGGGCCGGCGUUGGAUUCGCUAGUUGGUAGGGUAAAAGCCUACCAAGGCGACGAUCCAUAGCUGGUCUGAGAGGAUGAUCAGCCACACUGGGACUGAGACACGGCCCAGACUCCUACGGGAGGCAGCAGUGGGUAAUAUUGGACCAUGGGCGAAAGCCUGAUCCAGCACUGCCGCGUGAGUGAUGAAGGCCUUAGGGUUGUAAAGCUCUUUUACCCGGGAUGAUAAUGACAGUACCGGGAGAAUAAGCUCCGGCUAACUCCGUG
rnacentral:rRNA from 1 species